AUUGAACGCUGGCGGCAGGCCUAACACAUGCAAGUCGAGCGGAUGAAGGGAGCUUGCUCCUGGAUUCAGCGGCGGACGGGUGAGUAAUGCCUAGGAAUCUGCCUGGUAGUGGGGGAUAACGUCCGGAAACGGGCGCUAAUACCGCAUACGUCCUGAGGGAGAAAGUGGGGGAUCUUCGGACCUCACGCUAUCAGAUGAGCCUAGGUCGGAUUAGCUAGUUGGUGGGGUAAAGGCCUACCAAGGCGACGAUCCGUAACUGGUCUGAGAGGCUGAUCAGUCACACUGGAACUGAGACACGGUCCAGACUCCUACGGGAGGCAGCAGUGGGGAAUAUUGGACAAAGGGCGAAAGCCUGAUCCAGCCAUGCCGCGUGUGUGAAGAAGGUCUUCGGAUUGUAAAGCACUUUAAGUUGGGAGGAAGGGCAGUAAGUUAAUACCUUGCUGUUUUGACGUUACCAACAGAAUAAGCACCGGCUAACUUCGUG
rnacentral:rRNA from 1 species